GAAAUGCGAUAAGUAAUGUGAAUUGCAGAAUUCAGUGAAUCAUCGAAUCUUUGAACGCACCUUGCGCUCCUUGGUAUUCCUUGGAGCAUGCCUGUUUGAGUAUCAUGAAAUCUUCAAAGUAAAUCUUUUGUUAACUCAAUGGUUUCUACUUUGGUAUUGGAGGUCUUUGCAGCUUCACACCUGCUCCUCUUUGUUCAUUAGCUGGAUCUCAGUGUUAUGCUUGGUUCCACUCGGCGUGAUAAGUUAUCUAUCGCUGAGGACACUGUAAAAGGUGGCCAAGGUAAAUGCAGAUGAACCGCUUCUAAUAGUCCAUUGACUUGGACAAUACUUUUAUGAUCUGAUCUCAAAUCAGGUAGGACUACCCGCUGAACUUAAGC
rnacentral:misc_RNA from 1 species